AGCUCCAAUAGCGUAUAUUAAUGUUGUUGCAGUUAAAAAGCUCGUAGUUGAAUUUCUGGAUCUAAUUUCUGGUCCGAGGCCUUGUGUCUUGUGUACUUUGAUUCUAUUAGAUCCAUCUUAGUAGUGAAUGUUACUGGCAUUAAGUUAUCGGUAGCAGGAGCUGCUUCUUUUACUGUGAAUAAAAUAGAGUGUUCAAAGCAGGCAUUACGCCUUGAAUACUUCAGCAUGGAAUAAAAAAAUAGGACUUUGGUGCUAUUUUAUUGGUUUGCACACCAAGUAAUGAUUAAUAGGGAUAGUUGGGGGUAUUCAUAUUUGAUUGUCAGAGGUGAAAUUCUUGGAUUUAUGAAAGAUGAACUUAUGCGAAAGCAUUUACCAAGGAUGUUUUCA
rnacentral:rRNA from 1 species